rnacentral:rRNA from 1 species
CUCCGUAGGGGAACCUGCGGAGGGAUCAUUACUGAGUUUACGCUCUACAACCCUUUGUGAACAUACCUAUAACUGUUGCUUCGGCGGGCAGGGUCUCCGUGACCCUCCCGGCCUCCCGCCCCCGGGCGGGUCGGCGCCCGCCGGAGGAUAACCAAACUCUGAUUUAACGACGUUUCUUCUGAGUGGUACAAGCAAAUAAUCAAAACUUUUAACAACGGAUCUCUUGGUUCUGGCAUCGAUGAAGAACGCAGCGAAAUGCGAUAAGUAAUGUGAAUUGCAGAAUUCAGUGAAUCAUCGAAUCUUUGAACGCACAUUGCGCCCGCCAGCAUUCUGGCGGGCAUGCCUGUUCGAGCGUCAUUUCAACCCUCAAGCUCUGCUUGGUGUUGGGGCCCUACAGCUGAUGUAGGCCCUCAAAGGUAGUGGCGGACCCUCCCGGAGCCUCCUUUGCGUAGUAACUUUACGUCUCGCACUGGGAUCCGGAGGGACUCUUGCCGUAAAACCCCCAAUUUUCCAAAGGUUGACCUCGGAUCAGGUAGGAAACCCCCACCCCCAU